rnacentral:rRNA from 1 species
UACGAAGGGGGGCUAGCGUUGUUCGGAAUUACUGGGCGUAAAGCGCACGUAGGCGGGCGAUUAAGUCAGGGGUGAAAUCCCGGAGCUCAACUCCGGAACUGCCUUUGAUACUGGCCGUCUAGAGAUCGGAAGAGGUGAGUGGAAUUCCCAGUGUAGAGGUGAAAAUUCGUAGAUAUUGGGAAGAACACCAGUGGCGAAGGCGGCUCACUGGUCCGAUACUGACGCUGAGGUGCGAAAGCGUGGGGAGCAAACAGG